rnacentral:lncRNA from 1 species
UCUUUCUAUGCGGUGGGAAUGCCGGUUGCAGUUCUGUUGGGUUUCUGGGUGAAAAUGGACUUCGUGGGUCUAUGGAUUGGUCUGUUGGCCGCACAAGCAACGUGUGUGGUCACGAUGCUCACUGUCAUAUUACGCACGGAUUGGGCCCUGCAGGCACAAAGGGCGCAGAACCUUAUAACUGGUGCUGCCGUCAACGAUGAUGACUACCCCAAAAAUACGAUCAUCAAAUUGGUGAAUAAAACCCAACAACAAAACUUACAACCAGAAUCGACGCACACCUGUGAUGAGGAAACUACUAAUUUGCUACUUCAAAUCAAGAUCGAACAACCACCGAUUGUCGUGGGAUGACUCUUGAUUUCCGAUCGACAUAACUACGCCAUCGAUAGCCAAUAUUCU